rnacentral:rRNA from 1 species
CCUACGGGAGGCAGCAGUGGGGAAUUUUGGACAAUGGGCGAAAGCCUGAUCCAGCCAUGCCGCGUGUAUGAAGAAGGCCUUAGGGUUGUAAAGUACUUUUGUUAGGGAGGAAAAGCUACAGGUUAAUACCCUGUAGUCAUGACAGUACCUAAAGAAUAAGCACCGGCUAACUACGUGCCAGCAGCCGCGGUAAUACGUAGGGUGCAAGCGUUAAUCGGAAUUACUGGGCGUAAAGCGAGUGCAGGCGGUUUGUUAAGCUAGAUGUGAAAGCCCCGGGCUCAACCUGGGAAUUGCGUUUAGAACUGGCAAGCUAGAGUGUGUCAGAGGGGGGUAGAAUUCCACGUGUAGCAGUGAAAUGCGUAGAGAUGUGGAGGAAUACCGAUGGCGAAGGCAGCCCCCUGGGAUAACACUGACGCUCAUACUCGAAAGCGUGGGUAGCAAACAGGAUUAGAUACCCUGGUAGUCCACGCCCUAAACGAUGACAAUUAGCUGUUGGGGAAUUAAAAGUCCUUGGUAGCGUAGCUAACGCGUGAAAUUGUCCGCCUGGGGAGUACGGUCGCAAGAUUAAAACUCAAAGGAAUCGACG